rnacentral:misc_RNA from 1 species
AAGCAAGAUUUGUCCUUUGUGAC